rnacentral:rRNA from 1 species
UACGAAGGGGGCUAGCGUUGUUCGGAUUUACUGGGCGUAAAGCGCACGUAGGCGGAUUGUUAAGUCGGGGGUGAAAUCCUGGAGCUCAACUCCAGAACUGCCUUCGAUACUGGCAAUCUCGAGUCCGGAAGAGGUAAGUGGAACUCCUAGUGUAGAGGUGGAAUUCGUAGAUAUUAGGAAGAACACCAGUGGCGAAGGCGGCUUACUGGUCCGGUACUGACGCUGAGGUGCGAAAGCGUGGGAGCAAACAGG